GUCCCUGUAGCGCAAUGGAUUGCGCGUUGGACUUCUAAUCCAAAGGUCGUGUGUUAGAAUCCCCUCUGGGAUG
rnacentral:tRNA from 1 species